rfam:Trichomalopsis sarcophagae strain Alberta scaffold1638, whole genome shotgun sequence.
UAAUCAGCUCUUUUUAGAGCUACCACAUAUUUCAACGUCAAAAUAA